rnacentral:rRNA from 1 species
GUCCUUUUGGCUAUAAUUUAAGGUCUAACCUGCCCACUGAAAUUUUAAAUGGCCGUGGUAUUUUGACCGUGCUAAGGUAGCAUAAUCAUUAGUUUUCUAAUUAAAAACUGGAAUGAAAGGUUGGAUAAGAAAAUAACUGUCUCUAUUAAAUUUAAUUAGAAUUUUAUUUUUAAGUUAAAAAGCUUAAAUAAAAUUAAAAGACGAGAAGACCCUAUAGAGUUUAAUUAUCUGAUAAAAAUUAUAUUUUAGUAUUAUUUUAUUUAAUUUAUUUGAUAAUUUAAUUGGGGUGAUUGAAAAAUUUAAUUAACUUUUUUUAUUUAAGUUCAUUAAUUUAUGAAUAAAUGAUCCAAUAUUUUUGAUUAUAAGAUUAAAUUACCUUAGGGAUAACAGCGUAAUUUUUUUAGAAAGUUCACAUUAAAAAAAAAGAUUGCGACCUCGAUGUUGGAUUAAAAUAAAUUUUUGGUGUAGAAGCUAAAAUAUUAGGUCUGUUCGACCUUUAAAAUUUUAC